CCAGAUUCUAGCUACAUUGGAGACUGAUUGCUUUCUAAAAUUAAGGAGAAGUCAAAGAAGGCAUGGUGAAUUUUCUUUGAGUUACAACUAACAAAAUAAAAGAGAGUUCAAGUGGAUAACCUUGAGGACUCGAAAAGCUGAGAUAUGAUGGUUUGGAAGUCACUCCACAUCUGAAGCCUUGAUGUAAAUGACAGCUUUAAAAGAGCCUCUCAGGAACCAAUUUCAGAGAAGUCUAAUCCCUGUUGAAAAUAUGGAGCCCACCAGCAGCAAGCAGACCAGAUACACUGGAGGAUACCUGGACCUCACAGUCACUGUCACCUAGUAGGAGCCCUCCAAGGAAUCUCCAGAAAUGGCUUGCCUUCACAGACUUUAUAAACAUUCUUGAAUAACUGGACAGAGUUUCUUAAUGUAAAUUUGCUUGUUCUUUAGAUGGCUUAGGUUUAAGUAGCCAGAAAGUAUCAAAGAGAACAUGUUGCACACACCUGUACACAUACUUGUUGAGGACCUUGGCACACGAGAAAAUGUUCUAGAACUAACCAGAGUCUUGACCUCUGAGUAGGCAUGGCCCUAGGCAGAAGAAUAGUAUUGCUUGGGUAUGUGCAGGUCCCACUCUGUACUCUUACUUUAGAAUUGGGCAAAAGAAUUGACUAAUAUGUUAUUUAAAUUUAAAAAUAAAACCUAUUGGGACCAGCAGUUGGUGUAAUGA